UAUAGCUCAGUGGCAGAGCACUCGCCUAGCAAGUGCAGUGUCCUGGGUUUGAUCCCCAGUA
rnacentral:tRNA from 1 species